ACCAGGCUAGUUUUCCCCGCCGGCGCGGCGGUUAGUAAUAAUGCUACAACACUGGAACUAACACGGAUUUAUUAUUUUCCAACUACUUGAAACGUGAAGGUGAAACUUGUUGUAGUGAAAAGUAUGGGUUGCAACAUCUCGUGCCGGCCUUGCUGCUGCUGCUGCAUCCCGUGCCUGUGCUGCGACUGCUGCGCGGAUCCGCCCUCGCCCACCACCGUCAACGUGGUGCACCACCACGUGCCCGCGCCCGUCACCGUCGUUCACCAGCCGCCGCCACCCUACGCCAGAUAGAA